rnacentral:rRNA from 1 species
CCCUUAGAUGUUCUGGGCCGCACGCGCGCUACAAUGAUGCAGGCAACGAGUGCUGCUCCUUGGCCGAAAGGCUUGGGGAACCUUGAAAACUGCAUCGUGCUAGGGAUAGAUGAUUGCAAUCGUGCAUCUUGAACGAGGAAUGCCUUGUAAGCGUGAGUCAUCAACUCGCGCUGAAUACGUCCCUGCCCUUUGUACACACCGCCCGUCGCUCCUACCGAUUGAGUGGCCCGGUGAGGCUUUGGGAUCUGAGCGGAAAGAGCGUUUCGCUGUUUCUGCUCGGAAAACUCAGUCGAACCUUAUCAUUUAGAGGAAGGAGAAGUCGUAACA